ACUUACCUGACGUGUCUGUUCCUGGUCAGUGCCGUGGAUACCCGCCACCCCCUGGAAGUCCAUCCCCAGUUCCUUAGAUCUAGAACAUGCUUUCUGCAGAUGAGACAUCGUAUUCAACUUGACAGGUCCCCCACAAGGACAUCAUACAGAAGUCCACAUUAAGGGUAGGGUCACAUGUGCCAUUGAAGUCAAUGGAAAAUAUGAAGCCGAUUUUGCUACCCAUUGACUAGGAAAAUACGCAGCAGCAAAAUACGCAAAAAUACGCUAUCCUAAAACUGAUUUCAUACAGCCAUAAAAUAGCUGGAAAGGUUUUCCUGCUGAGAUCCAUUCCUGUCUUUGUCUCUAAGUAUUUGAUUCCCAUAUGGCUGUAUGAUUCACUCUAAUGUGCAGACUGAUGGUUAAGGGGUACUCCACUGCCUUAGCGUUCGUAAGUGUGGGCGCUGGGGCUCAUGAUGUCACGGCCUCGCCCCUCAUGAUGCAGCCGUCACACUCCCCCUCCAAUAGACUUGCAUUGAGUGGGCGUGGGGUCACAAGGGGGCGUGGCCAUGAUAUCACCAGCCCCAGCGCCGCACUCAGUGUUCGGAACAAAAUGUUCUGAACGCUGAGGCAGUGGAGUAUCCCUUUAAUGUACAGCAGUUUUAUAGGAGUCGGACAUUUUACAGUCAAUGGUAAAAAGGAACUAGAAAACGGAGUUAAAAUCCUAAUACUAUUGGUGUACCAUUUUAAGUAAUUGAACAUGGUGGCAUUUGUUAUCCCCCCCCCCCCCCCCCUACAUUUGUAUUCUAAACAUUGAAAGGACUGACUAUGAUUGUAGGUAACUUUUAUGCUCUGGCUUUUUCAUGACACUAAUCUGCGUGUAGCUGGAUAUUUUUAUUAAUAUAUUGUAGGUAGUAUAUAUAAUGGCCAAAGGUGCCAUUAUGAAAAAACUAUGGCCUUUUCAAAUUUUCGCUUUGAAGAGGAACUCUCUCAUACGCUUUUUAUCAUAUUGUUUUAUGAUAGAAAACGAAUUGUAUUUUUUUUCAGUUUACACAUUUUCUAUAUUUUUUUUUGCACAUCUCGUCAUUAACAAUAUAGUGAAAAAAAAUAAAAAGUAUAUCGCUGAGAAAAUAAAAGAAAGUUGUUUGUAUGUGUUCUGUUUGUAGAUUAAAGGCUGUAUUACGUUGAAAUUUUACAAGCCAAGUUUAAAUUGUAAUAUAGAACUUAUUUUUAUAUUAUUUUCAAAAUAUGCUAUAGAGCAAUAUUUUGCACCUUUAUUAUAUACAGGGUUUGUCAUUUUAGUAGAUUACCUGCAGAGCCAUUGGUAGACCAUGACAUGAAGAUGCUUUGUAAACAGUCUACUGUGCACAUUUACACCAAGGCCAGAUUUUGUGUCUGCAGCAGAACAUCAAAUAGGUUCUUCUUCAGAAGACAAGAAAACAAUUCCUGCAUAUGAAUAAAAGUGCUGCCUUCCACCUUAUUUCCUACAUACUUGUUCAUCAUAUGUUAGGCAUCAAAGUUAUAUGCAGAAUAAGGUUUCACAUCAGAAAAAUGUAUCAGGAGUAUAUGAAGACUGCUAAAAGUAAUAAUAUCCAGUAUAUACAGAACUGAUCAUAAACAAUAUGUUUCCUGUUUAAUAACAUUCAGUCUGAGGG